rnacentral:ribozyme from 13 species
GCAGUGAGCGCGAGAGUCACCGGCAAGACGACGAGGAAAGUCCACGCCGCCAGGAAGCCGAGCACAGCGCACACGAGCUGGCUGCUCGAGAGCCCGG